UUCAGUGUUGUUUUCUCAACUAACUCUUAAGGUACUAUUCUUGGAAACUAGAAAGGCACAAAGAAAAUAUGACAAUUGUAUGUAUUCUUUUUUCCCCAACUUUAUUGGGGUAUAAUUGACAAAUAAAAAUUGUACAUAUUUAAGGUGAACAAUGUGAUGUUUUGAUAUAUGUAUAUAUUGUGAAAUAAUUACCAUAAUUAAGCACAUAAACAUAUUCAUCACCUCACAUAGUUACUUGUUUUUUUGUGGUGAGAAUACUAAAAAUCUUUCUUAGAAAAUUUCAGGUAUACAGUAUAUUAUUAUUAUUAUUUUGAGACAGAGUUUCGCUCUUGUUACCCAGGCUGGAGUGCAGUGGUGCCAUCUCAGCUCAUCACAACCUCUGCCUCCUGGGUCCAAGCGAUUCUCCUGCCACAGCCUCCUGAGUAGCUGGGAUUACAGGCGUGCGCCACCAUGCCCGGCUAAUUUUUGGUACUUUUACUAGAGACAGGGUUUCUCCAUGUUAGUCAGGCUGGUCUCAAACUCCUGACCUCAGGUGAUCUGCCCGCCUUGGCCUCCCAAAGUGCCGAGAUUACGGGUGUGAGCCACUGCACUGGGCCUAUAGUAUAUUACUAUUAACUAUAGUACCAUGCUCUGUUUUAGGUCUCCAAAACUUAUUCACCUAAAACUAAAAGUUUAUACCCUUUGAGGAACAUCUCUCCAUUUUCUACGUUCUCUCAAACCCUGGUAACCACCCUUCUGUGCUCUUAUAGUUAUUUUUGGAAGAAUUAAUGUCUUAUCAGCAUCUGAAUCCUGCACAUUGUCUUCAGAUUUAUUUGUUUCAUUAAUUAUUUCAUUGCAUGUAAUUUGCUAAUCUAUUAAUUGAGUUUUAAAUGUUAUUACAUUGUAUUCUUGGAAGUUUUAUUUUUCCCCGAAAUUUGUCUAACCAAGUUUGAUUGCUCCUUCUUCUUUGCUCAUACUUUCAAUACUGUCAUUUCUUUAGUGACAUUACACAUCUUUAUCUUACAUUGUGCAUCUAAAAAUUCUAGCAUCUGCAGGCUUUGUGCAUCUGAUUCUGCUGCUGGUUGUUUCUUGCAGUUCUUGCUUAUGGUGUCAUGUGGUUUGUGAUUUUUUUUAAUGUAAGUUCAUGAUUGAUAUUUUUUGGGGAAUGUCUGGAGGACUGGGUGAAUGUACAUUUCUCUAGUAAGGAUUUGCUUUUUCUUUUCCCUGGUUCCUAGAACACAGCUAACCCAGAAUUACUGUGAAAGAAAUUCUUGGGGCUUUUCAUACCAAAUAGGUGGUAUAAAUUAAGGCCACCAACAGCAUGAGAACCAGCUUCUGAUUGUGAGUAAUCAGGUCAGGGAAGACAGACAGUUUCUACUGUGCCUCCCUUUUGGGGAUGAACAUGGUGUAUUCUUUCACUGAAGAAGCCACUUAAGGCCUUGGCUCCAUGUGCACGCUUCUCUUCUGACUCCCCUCUUUGUGCAUACUCUGGGCCUCAUAGUUUGUCUUUUGUGGUGUCCUUCAAAUAUAAAGUUUGAAACAAGUCCCCACCUUUUCAUUCUAAGUUAAGGUGCUAGACAUCCACAUAGGUCAUGCCAAGAGAUUAUAAUAUUAGGUUUGUCAGCACUGGCAAACAUCUAUUCUCAGCCCUUGGGAGGUGGAGGUUGAAGAAUUUGAAGAAGGGAUUUUAAAAAAAAUAAAUUAUUGGUUUACUUUGAAGGGGGAGGGAAGUACCUGCUUGACCUCAAGCCAAUUGGGAAGGGGUGAUAAGAACGACUAGGAGAGUUCAUUCAGUGUCCCCUGUGGUUUAGGAACCAGAGGAACUAAUGUCUGCCUCAUAGUUUUUGAGUUUCUUUGGCUCCAAAACAUGGUUGCUUUGCUGGUCAUCAUCUUUUCAUUUGAAAGCGUCGCUUUGCAUAGGCUGAGGGAUGCUAAUUGCUCUGAGGCUUUAAUAAUACUAACUACUAAAAAUGAAUACAACAGGAGUUUUGGUCAUUUGAUUUGCUUUAAAAAUAGAAUUGUCUAAGUAAUAACAUGCUUUUUUGAUAAACUUAUAAUAGUUCAAUGACAGUAUGGAUAUGUGCAUUCUUAGCAAACAAAUUGAUACAAAAAGUGGAAAAUAUGAACUGAAAUGAUAUGUUUCUUCCACUUUAGAAGUUAAUUCAUUGUAAUUGGAGAGAUUUAGCGUCUUGUGAACCCAUAAAACCUUUAACUGUUAGGGAAAAGUAAUUCAGUCUUUUUGAGGGGGGAAUUUAUAACACUGCAUCUGGGAGGAAAUAUACAUGGCUUUUAUAAAAUGGGCUAAAGCUUGCACGGUGGUAGAAAUGACAAUUUUUGAUUAACAAAUUGUCAGCAUGGGGCACAUUCCUUCAAUUUUCAGCAACUUAAAUCCCAGCAUUAAUCAGCUUUUGUAGAUGCCACCCACUGUUCUUACAGCAGCUAGGAAAACAGUAAUGAAGAACUGUAAAAUUAGCAUUAAAUCAGUGAUCACGCUGACUGGAGUAUUCUCAUUUUGUGUGAAGAUAGGUUUUUCUUAUUAUUCAAGAAUUGGUCAAAACAUGCCAUGUCCUCAUUAAAUGACUUCUGCGAGUGCUUUCUUUCAGGACAAUAAAUGGUGCUAAUAAGUUAACAGGCCUCCCACCAAGUAGACCUUUGAUAUAUGUUUUGUGAGCACAUUAAUGUGAAAUCAGAGUUAGAGAAACACAGGGAGUGUUCUCUACACAUAAUUGUCUUUUUCUGGAGUGAAACAUAAAUCCAACUAUCACAUUGCUCCCAGGAAGCCUAAACCAUUUAUAAAAUAAUGACUUUUGUUUUUAUAAAUUGGUUUAACUCAUCCAUUUCUUUAGGUUCCUGCAAUUGUGCAAGGCACCACAGGGGCUAAACAGAUGCACAGGAAUGGCCCUGCUGUAAAAGUGCUCCCAAUAUCCAAGUACACUCCAUUGUUUGGUCCACACAUUUUUCCUUCUUUUAUAUUGAGACUGUGGAAUUGCAUAUAUGUGCCAGUAUUCUUCCUGCAUGUGACACUGCUAACGAACUCCUUUGUAAGCUAUCGCAUUGUGUUUUUUUCAGUAUUGAUGAGACUGCCAGUUCCUCAUUUCUGGUUCUCUUGGUUUAUCUUGGCACCAAACUACUACAUACAUUUUCAGAAAGGCUUCUCAGAGUUAGGUUGUAUAUAGAUUGUUCCCUUGAGGGAGAACAAAAUAAACUGACUGAUACAGGAUGGGAUAUUGUGAUCUGGAUAACGGUUAUUGGCUAUCACCAUGAGUAGUUCUGUGGAGCAAGCAACGGUGUGAAAUACAAGUUCAAUCAGAUGUAGUUCAAAGAAAAGAGAGCCAACCUAUGGAUGGUUCUCGGUAGAGUGGUUUAGUAAUUAGUGAUAAAAACUGGAAACAGAAGGUCUUAAGUUGGAGUUCCAUGACUGUGCUUCAGAGAGUACAUGAACUUCCUAAAAUUAUGUCACAUUUUAUAUUUAAGAAGCCAUGUGUUUUCUUGGGGAGAUAAUCCCUUCGCCUUCCUUGGAUUCUCUAAGAGAUCAAAGAACCCAUGCAAAAAAAUUAUGAACCAUUGGCUUAGAUCAGGAGUAGAUGAACUUUUUCUGAAAAGAGCCAGAUAGUAAAUAUUAAAGGCUUUGAAGAAUUUACAGUUCUGUCAACAAAUGAGUGUGCCUGUAUUCCAAUACAACUUUAUUUACAAAAAAAGUUGUCCAGGGGGCCAUGAUUCUCUGACUUCUGGCUUAAGUGCUCAAGUAAGUGCACCCAAGUUUUCCCUUUUAUAUAGAUUGUAUCUGACAUAAGGCAUAUUUAUUUAAUUUUGUUGUUUCUUUCUUGUUGAGGUAUGAUUUACUUGGGGUAAAAUGAACACAUCUGCUAUGUACUUGACAAUUUUUUUUCACAUACACACACCCAUGUAACCACAACCAGAUCAGGAUAUAGAACAUUUCCAUCACUCCAAAGAGCUCCCUUGUGCUCCUCUCUAGCUGUAAUCUGCCCCCCACCCCUGGAAGUAAUCACUUUUCUCUUUUAUAUCACCGUGACUUAAUUUUGCCUUUCCUUGAACUUGAUUUAAAUGGGAUUAGACCAGUGUGUACUUUUUAAGUCUGGCUUCUUUUACCCAAUGUAAUGUUUUUAAGAUUCAUCUGUCUUUUUCAACAGACAGAUUUUUAAAACAGGUGUCCUGGGCCACUCAUAUUGUUGUCUCCAAAGACACUGCUUGUUUAAACAACAAGAGUUUAUUGAUCCUUUUGGUGUUUGGAGUGCCAGACUAGGAGCCACAAUAAGAGGCAGGAAUAUUUCUUUCUCCACCCUCCCAUUACUUGGAGUUAAACCAUAAACACAUAAAUCUCAAUUUAAGAACCCUCAGUUACAAAUAACAUCAACAAAUUAAAACAAACUCUGAGAAUGCCUUCUCAUUGGAGAAUUUAAAGGAUUAAAAAUAUUGAGUGAGGUCUCUUUCUCUAUCUUCAGAUCAGUAUAGAUUAAUUUGCUUUUAUACUACCAUUGGUUCAUAGAAGUGUGAAGAAGUUUCUAAUGUCCUUUAGUCUGGUGCUUUUCAGACCUUUAUAUGCAUAUAAAUCACCUGGAGGUCUUGUUAAAAAUGGAGAUUUGGUCUGGGGUGCUGCCUGAAAAUCUGCACAGCUGGCGAAUUCCCAUGUAGUGCUGGUGCUGCUCCCACCUGGAACACGCUUCCAGUAGCAGGGCUCCUGUCUAGUAACCCUUUUUCAUAUUGUUUAGAACAGAGAUGAUAGUAUCCUAGAACAAUGGCAGUGAAAACUCAGACAAGUAAGAUAUGUAUGAAUUAAAAUGUACAGAAGUUUCUGAGAAACCAGAACAGCACAGGAAAAAAAGAAAAAGAAGAUACCAAGGUUGUUUCCUGGGAGUCUGUCUUAUAUAGCUAGAUAAAUUGUGUAGCAUUUAGUGACAAACUUGGAAGUGAAUGUUAUCUGGGGAGGAAAGAUUUGAGUGAAGUGUUUGGGGAAAUCUACAAGUGGAGAUGUUAGUAGGUGUUAGGAGAUAGAGUUCUGGAGCUCAGAGCAAGGUCUGCCUGGAGAGAUAAAUCUGAGAAUAUGGCCAUGACUGACAUAUAGAGAGAGACCAUAGUGGGAAGGAAGGAGAAUCUUGCCCUUGUCUUUGAAGAACUUCAAUAGUCAAUGGUCAGACAGAGUAAUCUGAAUUUGCAAGGAAGACUGAGAGGAAAUACCAAAGAGAUAGGAAGAAAAUCAGAGGAGUGUGUGUGUGUGUCUGUGUGUGUUUUCUUUUUUUUUUUAUUUUUCAAAUACAAAGAGGAGAAUGGUUUAAGAAAUGAACAGCAGUAACAGUGUUCAGGAAUGCCUAAGGUAUAUAAAAGAAAGCUUUAAAUAUGUCUGUUGGUUUAGCUUCUAUCAAUAAUUACUGAUCUUCAUAAGUGUUGUUACAGGAGAGCGACACGUCAAAAAUCCACUUGCCAUGAAUUGAUGAAAAAUAAGAUAAUGGAAAUAAGAUAAUGGAGAUAGCAAACAGAGGUUUUGUCCAGAGGACAAAAAAGAAAGAGGAGGUGAUGACUGCAUGGGAUUGUGAACCCAAAGGAGCCUUUUGCUUUCUAAUUGAUGAGACUUGAACGUGUUCCAAUCCCAGUGGGAAAGAUUCAUGUGAGAUGGAACAAUUGGAUAAGAAAAAUAGAUGACAGGAGUGUAUGUUUCUGGAAAAGGCUGGAGUAGAUGGGAUCCAAGGAUUAGGAAUGGGCUUUGGAAAGGAAGAGACAUGUUAAACAAUGUAAGAGAAGUGGAGAAAGAUAAAAAAAAUGUGCAGAAGACUAUGGAGGGCUUUAACAUUCUUUGUGAAGUAGGAGGUGAGGUCUUUGGCUCUGAGGAAAGAAGAAACUGGCACUCUAAGGUCAUGACUAGAGAGAGGUGCCAUAGAUUCAGAGUCAACAUUCUAGAGAGGGCAGUAUGUUGACCAGAUGAGUGUAACAGGUUGCUGCUUAUUUGUUUAGAAUGUAAGUAUGUUGUGCGACUUGCUGCGUGAUGUGGACAGAGAACAUGGACAGUGGUCACGUGGACUCUACUAUGCUGGACACAUAUGACAGGACUUUGGGAUAGUGGCCAGAUUAUCACCGAAAUGGUGGGUCUGGAAUUUAAGCAGGAAGAGAAUGAAUAUGAAGAAAUUUAGAAGUCUGAUGAUAGGAGUGACAGUAAAGAAGACAGUUAUUUGGAGGCCCUGAAAAGGAGAAUGGUCACAAUGGGAAUAUUUAAUAAAAUAGUUUCUAAGCAGGAAGGAAAGGAGACAGAGUCUAAAUGAGAGAUGUCCUGAUCAGUAAUUUCAGGGUAUGACAAAGUCUAAAGCCAUCCUAGUGGAGUAGGUGGCUGAUGGGACACAAAGGAGGUCAGGUCAUUACUGAUGAGGACUUCAAGAGCCGAAGGUCAAGGUAUUAGAUGGGUCAUCAUCUACUUGGUUAUUGAAGUCACCCAGGAUGUUGAGAGGACUUGAGGUGGAGUGGAUGGCUAUGACCAUGUGCUGAAGUCUCCCAGGAAUGGUGGUGACUGGGAGAAAAGGGAAGUGGUGAGGCAGAUGGCAGCUGUCACACAUGAUGUAGGGGUAGAUGAUCAUUGCUGUCAAGGAGUGAUGGGAAGCACAGAGGAAAAAAACUCUAUGUCCUGAUUUUGAGCUACUUUCACAGUGAAAGAAUAAACAGUGUUCACCUGUGAGGGAUAUGGGCACAAGUGGUCUCCUAAAACGAGGUGGAGGGAUUAAGCAAAGAAACAGAUACAUUCAUAGAAAAUUAAUAUAUGGAGCAGCAUUUCCAGAGAGCUAGCUCAAGGAUUUAGAUGGGUAGAGAAGGAACAGGCUGGAUCUAGGGCUCAGAAGUACCAGGUAUGUAGGGUGAAGGUGAAGGAAAUGUGACUGACCAGAGACUUACACUGUGGGCGUUCUGAUGAAAACACAUGGUUGUUUACAGUUAAUGUCUUUGAGGAGAGUGGACACUGGGCCUCAUGUUCAGAUGACUUCUAUUGGCUUAGAUAAUGUUGGUCUCAUUAGCUAUUUCCAUAGCCACUUGGCCUUGGGUGGUGUUCUUCUAGGCUGCAAUCCUGCAGCCGACACAUGGGAUGAUGUAAAAAUCCUAUUAUUAUUGAGCCUUAUAACCAAAAUUCCUGGCUAUUAUUAUUUUCAGCUUUUAUGUCUUAGCAUCAUGCUCACUUGGCAUUAGUUGACUGGGACUUGUAGUAAUACAAGCACACAUUUUCAUAGUGUUCACAGGCCUUAAAACAGUUUACAAUCUAUUGUCAAGUACAUGAUCCCAUAUUAUACCACGCAUUUUUCCUUUUAUAAAUGCAACAAUUUUCUCUUAGUUUAUUUGCUAUUCUGGAAAAAUUCAGGUAAAUAAAAAAGAAUUCUAUUCUCAGUGAAGCACUUUCAUUAGAUUAAUUUGUUAGUCAAAUGAAAACGCAAACACAUUGAGAGGAAUUUAGAUUUGAUAAAUGAACUUGGGGAGUGACAGGCAAGGUAUAUUGUGUCGAUUCUCAGUGACCCUGAAUGAGUGUAGCUGAAACUAAUCUUCUCAAGUAGGUCUUCCUGUCAUUUUCUAGACUUGAUAAUGGCUGCUGUCUAUAUUUUUAUUUAUUUAUUUGUUGUUUGUUCACUUUUAACAUAGUGAUGCUCAGUAUAGGAUUCUAUACUAUCUCAUUAGACUUUGUGACUCUGAGGUAGGAAGGGGUGGCAGAUAUUUCAAACAUUUCACUGCUAAUGGAAGCCUCAGUUUGGCUUUGGGAGCAGCAAAAGGAGGUGGAGAGAGCAUGAGGUGUUGAAAUUUAGCCUCUUGCAGUUACCCAGCCUUGAGUAGGCAAUACAGCAACUCCUAAAUGAUAUUUUCCUCUUAGUUAACAGUGAAAAUUAUGAGUAGUUAUUUAACUUGUACAGUCAAUAUGGACACUCAAUAAAUAUGAAGCUUUGCUUCUUCCUCCUAGCUCAUCUAUAUUUCUUUAUUCUUGUCGCCAAAGUGAGGUUUGGAAGUGUAGAAGGAAGGUAAAAUGGUAUUUUGUUUAAAGCCCACUGGUCCUGGUAAGUGCUAAAUAAUGUGACCUGUUGUAUUUCACAUUUUCUGGAUAUUCUGAUACUAGUGUCAGAAGUUAAAUGUUUUUAGAGAACUAACAAUGUUUUAAUAUAAUUGUAGGCUAUAUUAAAGUACACAAAGUUAGUGAGGGGUUUGAAAGUUGAUAUAUCCUAUCAAGAAUGUAAUCACUUGGGAAAUGCAGGAUAAUUUGGUCAAAUGAAAAAACAAAACUUUUUCAGGAUUUGUCACUGAGAUUUUCUUUUUAUGGGAAGAAAAAGGAAAUCAUACUUUGUAGUUCAGAUGGACUGAUACCACCAUGUAUAUUUAUGUAGCUUCAUCUCCUGUCCUUUUCUGUGGCAGACACAUUGGUUAUUGAGUGCUCUGUGGCUGCAUAAGACAUUUUGAUUAAAGGAUCUCUUACAUUGUCCAUCUCUAUUUAUUGCAUGGACUGACUCAAUGCUUCUUGCAAGCUCUCUCAGUGUCUUUACCGUAAAAAUACCAUGACGAGGUGACUCUCAGAGAAGUGCUGACUUUAACAUUUUCUCUGUUGAUUGACUUACAAUUAUGGUUCAUAGUUUUUUUAUGAUUCUUAUUUGUUCAAAGAAGAAUAAUGAAUGUGGAGAAAGAGUUUUCUCAAGCAAAAAGUCAGUCAUUUUAUGGAAAUUUUAAGGAAAUUCUUAUGUAAAGCCAAUAUCUAGUACAUGUUUAAAGAAAACUUCAUUGAUAUUAAGAUCAAUAUAUUUUCCUUUCUCUUCAGUCAGUAAGUCUUACAGGAAUUUUCCAAGAUUCACCAAGAAUUCUGAGGACUGUGUGUGGAGGAUUCUUUCAUUGCUUGGCACAGAAAGAAAAUGUCAUCUUGACCUUGUUUCUGAAAGAUGUUUUAACCUCACUAAUUAAGCAGCCUCCACUUGCUAUUCAGUGAAGCUCUCUUGAGAGUGAAGGGCCUUUGAUUGGGGAAAUUCCCUAAUUGAAUAGGACUUCUCAUCAUGAAGUAGUCAUAACAUGUUGAUUAUAGUUUUACCAUUAGGAAUUCUAUUGCUUAACACAAAUGUAUUAUAACAAGAAUUUGAUUAACCUAAGUCAAUAUUAGCCUGUAGAUACUUGGAACAGAAAAGAUCAAGUCAUCUUAGUAAUCCAGGAGUCUAAGAAAAGAGAAUGAGCUUUUGAUUCACAAUCAUAAAAAUAAGUAUUAUACAAUAGUAUUUGGGUUUUUUAUACAAUAGUAAUUCUCCAACAAUUGCUAAUAUCUAAUAUCUCUUUUUUCUGUAUCUCUCAGACUGCAUAAAGAAAUUUUUGUUAUGCAAAUGUUCAUGAAUUCUCAAAAGGAGAAUUGUAGAAUGAAUUCCCAUAUACUGAUCCUACACCUUUAAUAAUAAUGAAUAUUUUUUCAAAUAUUGAAAAAUCAAUCCCUUUCACUUUUUUGUCUGUUUGCUGGAAUAAUUUAAAGCAAAUCCCAAAUGUGUUAUUUUACUCAUAGACACUCCAGUAUUCACCUCUGUCAAUCUGUUUUAUGCUGUUAAAAUAACUAUAAAUACUAACAUUUAUCUACUCCUUUACAUUCUUAAAGUGCCUUAUCUCAUUAUUAGUUAUCAUAAAAAUUCGGUAGAUAUUAUCAUUACUAUUGAGCAGAUUUUUAACAAGAACUUUAGAGAUUCCAAGUGGCUAAAUGACAUUCUCAGGGACUACUGAAAGGGUUUCAAGUGUGGGCCUCCUACAGACACUUCACUCAGCUUUACACUCUGCAGUGUAUGUGACCAUGUCAAGCAAAAGGCUGCUGCCUUGGGUAUUUAACUUCAAAUGCUCAGAGCAUAUGAUCCCUUCUUUUGGUUUUCUGAUAACUGAGGCUCCACUGAAGGAGGUUGAGGAAGGCUAGAGGGAAGUGGCCAGUGCAGAUGUAUAGUAAGCAUGACUUUUUAUUCUGAUGUUUUGACAUCUGGGGUCAUGCUGACUCUGAAUAUACUGUCCCUCCCAGGGCUAGCCAAUUCCUAGAAAUAGCAAAUGACUUGCCUGCAAAUGUGCUUUUCCAACCAGUCCAAGGCUCAUACCCCCCAACUACCUCCUUUAUCUAGCUUUUACCUUUCCAAGCCACUACCCACCUACCUUUAUCACUCCAGGGCUGGAUACCAGCCAACCAGGGAUGGCCCUUGUGCCCCAGAGUCUGGCAAAAUUACUAAACUAGCCAAUCUUAAGCCUACUUACCCUGCCUCACCCGUGUCUGCUUUCCAGUGGGAACCACGAAGAAGGUUCUUGCCUAGUUUUUCCCCUGCUCCCUCUGCCUCCUGCCCAACACUGGUGGUUCCCUGUAUAGCCCAGGGUGGUGUAUCAUGCCCUCUCCUUUUAGGAGCGACGAGUAUAUGAGCCAGGCAUGGUGGUAGGUGCCUGUAAUCCCAGCUACUUGGGAGGCGGAGGAGGAGAAUUGCUUGACCCACAGGCGCAGGUUGCUGUGAGCCGAGAUCAUGCCAAUGGACUCCAGCCUGGGCAACCAGAGUGAAACUGUCUCAAAAAGAAAUGCCUCUUUCACAUUUGUGCCACAUUUUUUUCACAUUUUGUGCUUUUUGUUUGUGAUUUCACUGUUUAAAAUGGUCCCAAAACAUAGUACCGAGGUACUAGGUGUUCCUGAGUGCAAGAAGGCUGUGAGGUGCCUUACAGAGAAAAUACGUGUGUUAGAGAAGCUUCCCUCAGUCAUGAGCUAUAGUGCCGUUGGCCUUGAGUUCAGUGUUAGCGAAUCAACAAGAUAUAUUAAAUAAAUGGCCACUUGACAGAAACACACAUAAAGCAAGGUUAUGUAUUCAUUGAUUGCUGAAACUGUGACCAGAAGCUUGCAAGAACUUGACUGUUUUUCCCUUAAGAGCAAUGGUGCAGUAUUCGCUAAUUCAGUGUCUGCAGCAAUGUUAUGGAAGGUUAACUGCCAUCAAUAACGAGAAUCAAUGUGGUGGUGUGUAUGUGCUGAAGAUAAUAUGCCUAGAGAAUUUUAUCCAUUCAUUGAAUAAUUUACACACUCAUUUCACAUUAUCGGCACUAUAUAUUCACUUCUCAAAUGUGACUUUUUAAUGCAGGCUUUCCACCAUGGAAAAGUAAAAAUCUUAUUCAAGUAACCUUAGUGAUCUGCUCAUGCAUAGUGGAUCAGGGUGCACAGUAUGAUAUUUUGCAAUUUAUUUUUUUAUCAGCCUUUAUAAAAUAUAAGUAUUUGGCUGCCUUACUCUUACCACCAGGAGUGUAGGGUCCUUGGCCCUGCAGUGUCCUCACCUACAGACCCUAAACAUCGGGAGAGUCCCCAAGGUUUCUGAGGCCUGCCUGGUCAGGAGCCUGGAAAAUUUAUGAGAAGUAACUGUGCUUAAUGUUGCUGUCUUCAAAAUGGUGAGACUCUCUGGAUUCAGAAUGACUCUAUCGGUGGUCUCCAUGUUUCUAUAUUGCCAGAAUAUAAGGCUAGUAAUGCUUUGGUGGCUUUCUCAUGUCAUCAUGAAAUAAUGAACUGAAAUGCACUUUAAAAAGGGACAGAAUCUCCUAGUAUCUGUGUGAUAGGAAGGGCUUGCACAUUGGAAUAUGACUACUACAAAGAAAAAAAUUGUAACUGGAGGAGCAAAUAUAAUUCUCCUAAGGAAACAUUGCUGUUUAGUAGGUAAUAUACCUAAUAGUUGACUAAUCAACUGGAUCUUUUGCCAUUUUUGUAACUGAACUAACCUUUACAGGAAUCAAUAAAAUUGUUGAAAACAUAAGAGAUAAUAACAAUGAUAAUAGCUAUCAUUUACUGAACCCAUUCUAUGUUCCAGGAACUGUACAAGGUACUUGUUAUACAUAAUUAUUUCAUUAACUUCCUCUCUUCUCUGUGUCAGAAGUAACAUUAUCUCCAAUUUGCAGGUAGAAUGACUGAGGUUCUAGGAGUUGCAAAAGUAUGAUAUAGGUCGCAAAGGUAGUAAGCAUGGAACCAGGCUUUCUGAUUUCUUAUCACGAAAUCCCUUUGGGUUCCUUCUAUAUGGAAGGAAAGGGGGUAUAUUUCUUCUAAAUAUGAUUAGUUAAAAAUGAUUUGACAAUGGGAUGGGCUGAUUUUCAUAAAUUGAGUAUUGAUUUACAGAACAGUCUUUGCCUUUAGAGUGGAGAGUAUUUCUGGCUGAGAACAGAUUAUCACCAUGUGACUUUUGUAAGCUUUGUGUGAUACUGGUUGGUUGAAAGCCAGUGAAAAGAUGCUCUGAUGUAAGCAGCUGAAUGAAAAAUUUUAUGAGCUCAGUUUUAUCUUUUACCAGCUUCAUCUUGGGCUCUGAACUGUUCUUGCCUUGAAUACUCUCUGAAUAAGCAAUGAGAGAACAAUAUUACAUUUCUUUUUCUUUUUAAUAGAAAUGUCAUGUACUUGAAAGAAAUUAUUCAUUAAAAGUUGAAAGUCUGUUCUCAGCUUGCUAGAUGAUGUUUGGGGAAGUCUUUCACAUAUCAAAGUUCUGGGAAAUAAGCUCACAUUCUUAGUCUGUUUUCACUCAAAACUGCAAAUCACACAGCAACAAUAGCUUAAUCUUACUCAAUUUCUAGACAUUCACUUUUAAUGCAUAAAAAAACCUUAAAUUAAUGAUAUGUACAUAUGUUGGAUUGAUUGACAUCUUAAAUAAGAUGGUGGAUGCUGCACUAUUGCUUACUGCUUAAAUUAUUUGCAUCUAGUUUCAUAAAUGCUGUAUCACUACAAUAUUUGAGGUUACUUAGUUAUUCUAAGUACAAUAUGGGAUAAGCACUUCCAUGACUCUCUGAUUUUUAUCUUCCAAUGGGGAUUCUGCAGAUUCUGGCACCAAUAUAUGCAAGCUCACAAAUUUAGAAGCUGGUCCCCAAAUAUCUUUGUGGGUGCUCUAGGUGCUACUCAUCAAGCAACGCAUAGUUCCUGGUAUAUGGUCAGUGCUUCAUAAAUUUGUGCCAAGGACUAGGCUGAGACCAGGUUAUCAAAGCCGUCUCAUUGCAAAUUAUGCAUAAAUUGAAAUUUUGUGAAUCAAGUCUCAUUUUAACUACUGAGUGAGGGUUUGUUAUAUUUAGAAACUAUGCUUCAAAUUAUUUGUGAAAUGAAUAGCUACUUCCUGUUUGACUUUCUCUUACAUAAAAUUUCCUUAAAGGGUAGAUCACCUGAAUAUAUGAGAAAAUAACUUAGCAUAACACGGUAUGGUGAAUAGGAUCUCACCUGUAAUUUUCAUCUUUUUAUGCCCUGGAAAAUCAGACCCUUUCUGUGAUGUUCUCUGAAUGUCAAGCUUUCCAGUAAGUUCUUAAAAGAGUUGUCAUGGAAGAUAAACAUGCUAACUUUGCCCUUGAGAUUUCAGCCUUUGGAGUUUAAGGUUCUAAAAGUGGGUUUUGUAGUCACUUACGUAGAGAGCAUAAGUAUAUACAUGUGCACUUAAAUCAGACUACAACAGGUACAGGGAAUAUUACAGAAUAAUAAUGAGACAUCAUACAUAUAUGGAUAGAUAGAACAUAUAUAAAUAUAGACAUAUGGAAAGACAGAGAUAAAGAUGUAAGGGUGGAUUAAGGAUAUAAAGGAUUUGAUUAUCCUUUCUCUGUGGGUGUGUACAUCUACAAUAAGCCAGUAUUCUUAGAUCCUCCUCUAUUAUAAAUUAUGAUAAGAAAAACUCUGGGUCUGUGUUCAGUUUCUAGAACCAUCUGAUAUGAUUUGGCUUUGUGUCCCCACCUGAAUCUCACCUGGAAUUGUAAUAAUUCCCAUGUGUCAAGGAUGCGGCCAGGUGAAGAUAUUGAAUCAUGGGGGUUCUCUUCUGUUCUCAUGGUGGUGAAUAAGUCUCACAAGACCUGAUGAUUUUAUAAUUGAGAAUUCCCUGCACAAGCUCCCUCUUUGCCUGCCACCAUGUAAGAUGUGACUUUGCUCCUCCUUGCCUUCCACCAUGAUUGUGAAGCCUCCCCAGCCAUGUGGAAAUGUGAGGGAUGAGUUCACCCAUCUUAUUGUGACACAGUGUCCUUAACUGGAAGUCUAGUCCUCAGCUCCUGCCCUCAAGUAACACACAUGAGCUUGGUGGAAACUGGCACUAAUCUGCGAGCCAUCAGGUACAUUUUACUGUGUAAGCAUCCUAGCCAGACCCCAGCAAAAUUAUCCCAUUGUUCUUUAAGACGAUGGGUUUGGCAUUUUGAUUUUUCUUUGUUUAAAUCACUUAGAUAACCAAUACUCUCUGUUUGAUGGGUAAAUUGGAAAUGGUCACUGGUGUAGAAGCCAGCUGAGAUUCUGCCUGAUCGGUUUUUGUUUUCGUUGAGCAGCCACCAUCACUCUGUGAAGUGACCCAACCUAUCAAUACUGAAUGGAAUAGAAUGAAUUAGGAAAAAUAGACAGGAGUUUUGGGAUAUGUGACAUUUUCUUUGACCAAAGGAAGGUUUUUGAAGGAAGAUUUAUAAUGUAGCUUCAACAAAAGCACUGCGACCAUUCUAUAUUCCUAAUGGGUGUAUCUUGCAAUAUCAAUAAAUGAUUUAACCACUUCUUCCUUUCACAAUCACUUAAGGACAAGAACUGGGAUGAUGUGAAAAGGUAAAUGAUGGCAGAGUGGUCGUAGAGGAAAUGCCCACUACAACAGAAGCCCACUUACUCGUGUGUAUGCACCAAAGGUGUAGCAUUAAAGGUGUUCUUUUUUUUUGAGACGGAGUUUUGCUUUUGUUACCCAGGCUGGAGUGCAAUGGCGCGAUCUCGGCUCGCCGCAACCUCCGCCUCCUGGGUUCAAGCAGUUCUCCUGCCUCAGCCUCCUGAGUAGCUGGGACUACAGGCGCACGCCACCAUGCCCAGCUAAUUUUUGUAUUUUUAGUACAGACGGGGUUUCACCUUGUUGACCAGCAUGGUCUCGAUCUCUUGACCUCGUGAUCCACCCGCCUUGGCCUCCCAGAAUGCUGGGAUUAUAGGCGUGAGCCACAGCGCCCGGCCUUAAAGGUGUUCUUUUAAAGGGUCUAAGCCACAAAACGAUUUGCUUAAUUUAUUCCCAUCUUAAAGACUUUUCCCUCACUUUCUUAUAAUCCAAAAAUAGAGAGCUGCAAAGGACACUGAAGAAAGAACCUCAUAUUUUUAUAUGAUGUAGCAUAAUUAGCCUGUUUCUGUGGCUGCCCAUCAAAUCAUGCAGGAAUUUAGUGGUGUACGAUAACCAUUCAAUUAGACUCAAUGAUUCUGUGGUUUGGGAAUUUAGACAAGGCAUUUUCAAAGAAUUUUUCCUUCUAUUUGGUUAGCAGUUUAGACACAAAUCAUAAAAAUCUCCAACUGUUAAGCACUUAUUCUCAUUUUUUCCCCCCAGAGGAAACUAGAGCUCAAAAGAAUUAAGUAACUUGACCAAAUUUGGCUAAUUAGUAAAUGGCAGUAUAGGCCUCAACAUCAAGUCAUCUGGCUUUCCAUCGUAUCCUGUUUUUCUUUCCUCAAGGGGCAAACUGUUUUAAUCUUUAAUAUGCAAUAUUGUUAAGGUAAGGGUACUCUGCUGCUAUAAAAGUUUGCAUGUAAUAGUAAAAGAGGGAAGAGAAUUGCAUUCUGAAAUGCAUUGCAGAGCUCUUUUGAACCCGAACCUGAACCCUCCUAAUAAACUCUCCAUUCCCCCAAAAUGGCCUUUUUUCUUUAGAAGAAGGAAAAGGAGAUAAAAGGCAGGAAAUUCCACCCCUUGUUACAGGUUCCUACUCCUGAGUCCCAUCCAAGCCUGGCAGAUAUAAAGAAUGAAAAGGUAAUAAUAUAGUUAUUAGUACAGCUGCAUAGAUUUUUAUAUACAAGCUCUUCUCUAUUAUGAAAUAGUUUUCAUUUAGGAAAUUCUUGAUUAUUUUUCCUGAUUUUGAUACUCAGAAUAUACAUAAAUGAAAGCAGCAAAAAUAUUUCAAUUUUAUUUGAACUCUGCCCAUAGAAAUCUUAUGUAUGUCAUCUUUAAUGUCUUUUUUUAGAUCAUUCUUAUAAUCUUAGAUCACUGUUAUGAUCAGAAAAUUCUAUGAAAAUCUAGGGAAGGCUAAAUUUCUCUAGACACUUAGAACUUACGGUGUUUGACCAAGCAGAUGUGGGAAGGAUAGAAAACAGAAUUAUUUUCUUGCUUAGAAAAGGGAGACUUGGUACAAGGCACAAUGUGACUGGAAUUUGCUGUUAUAAAGAAGUGGAGUUUAUUGCACUGAUAUGUUUCUUCUUUAUAACAGUAAACUCCACUGAAAUGUCCUCUCAGCUAGCUGUCCAAUUCUUGUCCUACAGAUAGGAGAAGGGAAGCUAAGUGUGCCCACUUGUGGAAAGCCUCUAGUAAGUCCCAUUUAUUUACACUCCAGGUAUCUCGAUGUGAGUGGUUGCUGACAGAUUACCAAUGCAGGAAUCCAUGCACUGGCAUGGAGCUGUCAACAGCUCAAGUAUCUGGACCUGUGCUCUACAGAGAUAAGCAAAAGAGGGCAGGAAACUUACAGAUUAUCUUUUUUUUUUUUUUAAUCUAGUUGCUUUAAGAAAAGGGAUUAUGAAUUAGUUAUCCAUUUCAGGUUAUCAUUUUAUGUGCACCUGUGAGUCUAUAGUGUAGACUAUAAGAUAGGUCAAAGGAACAUCUACAGAUUCAUAAACUGAGAAAAUACAUGAUAUAUGAAAGUAUGAAGAAAGGAGAUUUAUUCACUCAAUUGUAAGGAAAGUUAUUUUGUAAGGUGAAUAUAUACAAAUUAUGUAUUUUGUAUAGUCUGGUAUGAACGGCUCUAUAAACUUCAAAUUAAAAUAUGGUCCUAUUUCUUUACUUUUAUAAUUAAUUGUUUACUUAGGCAAUUCCUACUUUAUUUAUAGGAAAUCCAUUUUCUUCCUCUCUGGUUUAUCUUCUCACUUAAUUACACUAGAACCCUGGGGGCCACACAGUCUAAGAAGGCGGGGAGGGUCUAUUCAGCUUCACCCAAGUGAAGAAACUGAAUUCUCAUUAGUCUACUACUGGCCACUGCUUCCUGCUGCCAUAGGGGUGAUGCUAGAUUCAUGAUUCACCAGAUUCCAGAGUCCCCUGCUUCAGUGAUACUUCACUUGAGCCAACCAGGUUCACUGAGAUUCAUCUCACUAUCUCAGUUACAAGCAGUGUGUCCCAAGACUGAGGUAUCAAAACUGUAACUACUGGUGUUUAAUUCCUUUAAUUCCCGUAUACAUCUACAUUCUAGGAUAUUAGUUGACUGAUUACAACUGGUCUGGCACUUGACAACUAGUGGUUCCAGAACUGCCAUCUUUCUUCUCCCCAGGUAGCAUCUCCUUUUACAUUCUCAAAUCAUGUGUUUAAUUGUCCUUUCCCAGGAUAUUACAACUAAUAGACCACUCUUCUAGUGGGGAUUACUGCAGUAAUUUCUGAUUCCCUACAUUCAUCAAUCUGAGGGAGAUUCCCAUUAUGCUUGGACAUGAGGCUGCCUUAAUUAUUGUUGAGUAAAGUAAAAACUAUAAUGUGAGAAACAAGAGAAGCAAGUAGUGUAAGAAUCACUAUCAGGUGCAUGUCAUUCCUGUAAGUAAUGUUAAUUAGCCAGAUCCCUUGUUAAAACAGCAAUAUAUAAUUAGGUAUCACUGUCCCAUUUAAUAAUCAGAAGUGCCAACCCCAGAGCAGAAGUUGUAUACUAUCCAGGCUCUUCUUUUUAAAUAUCCUUAUUGUAUUUUGGUCUCAUGCUGAUUAUCAGAAUUUUCUUAAAAGGAAACUUAAUAUUAAGGAAAUCUAAUGAGUUCUCUCUUUCAUACUAUAUACACCUGACUUUUAAAAGAUAAGGAAACAAAUCUGUAAAUUCCCCGAGCUGAUAAAUUAAAUACAGGUUUUGAACUGCUUUCAGAUAAUGACAAGAAAUUCCCAGGAAGGGUCUAGAAAUGUAUUUCCAAUAGAAAUAUAAAUACUCCACAUGCAUACUUUAAAAUUUUCUAGUAGCUACAUUAAAAAAUAAUAUAAAACAUGAAAAUAAUUUUAAUAAUGUUUUAUUUUAAUCCAAUAUAUUUGAAAUGUCAUUUUAACAUGUAGUCAACAUAAACAAUAUUAAUUAGAUCUUUUAUAUUCUUUUUUGUACUAAGUGUUACAGCACAUCUAAAUUCAGGCAGGCCAUAUUUCAAGUAAUCAAGAGCCACAUAUGGCUAAUGGCUAUGGUAUUAAGACAGUUCAAGUAUAAACUAUAGGAUCUUGUGGAACAGGAAUGACAUCUCAUGAUAGUAUGUUCCAUUUUAAUCAUUGGAAAACCAGUUCCACAAAGCACUCUGAGGAACAAAUAGUUUCAUGGUUAAGUAAAGUGAGAAAUGUUGCACAUUAUCUUCUGAAUAGAGAUUUAUAAUAGAUGAUCCAUAUAUCAAAGUCACCAAGAAGUCUUGCAAUAAAGAAUUCUGUUAAACGUU